GAGCUAGCAUGGUGCAGUGGUUUGAAUGUUGGACUACAAUUCUGGAGACCAGGGUUGAAUUCCCAGCUGGGUCA